UUCAGUUUGUUGUAGCUCAUGAAAAUGAAACUGUUGCUUCUUUUUAUGGUAUGCCUCGCAAGUCUCAUGGUUGUAUCAGAAAGCUGUUCGUGUGGUACGACAAAUUUUAAUUGCACCAAAAAUGCUGAUUGUUGCGGGCAUUAUCAAUGCAGUUAUAUAUCUGGACGUGGUAUGUGCAAGCCUAAGAGAGGAAAUCAAAAAAUAAAUUAAACCCCCUGGACAUUACCCCCCCCCC